rnacentral:rRNA from 1 species
AGAGUUUGAUCCUGGCUCAGGAUGAACGCUAGCUACAGGCUUAACACAUGCAAGUCGAGGGGAAACGAUAUUGGAAGCUUGCUUCCGAUAGGCGUCGACCGGCGCACGGGUGAGUAACGCGUAUCCAACCUGCCCACCACUUGGGGAUAACCUUGCGAAAGUAAGACUAAUACCCAAUGAUAUCUCUAGAAGACAUCUGAAAGAGAUUAAAGAUUUAUCGGUGAUGGAUGGGGAUGCGUCUGAUUAGCUUGUUGGCGGGGUAACGGCCCACCAAGGCAACGAUCAGUAGGGGUUCUGAGAGGAAGGUCCCCCACAUUGGAACUGAGACACGGUCCAAACUCCUACGGGAGGCAGCAGUGAGGAAUAUUGGUCAAUGGGCGAGAGCCUGAACCAGCCAAGUAGCGUGCAGGAAGACGGCCCUAUGGGUUGUAAACUGCUUUUAUAAGGGAAUAAAGUGAGUCUCGUGAGACUUUUUGCAUGUACCUUAUGAAUAAGGACCGGCUAAUUCCGUGCCAGCAGCCGCGGUAAUACGGAAGGUCCGGGCGUUAUCCGGAUUUAUUGGGUUUAAAGGGAGCGUAGGCCGGAGAUUAAGCGUGUUGUGAAAUGUAGACGCUCAACGUCUGCACUGCAGCGCGAACUGGUUUCCUUGAGUACGCACAAAGUGGGCGGAAUUCGUGGUGUAGCGGUGAAAUGCUUAGAUAUCACGAAGAACUCCGAUUGCGAAGGCAGCUUACUGGACUGUAACUGACGCUGAUGCUCGAAAGUGUGGGUAUCAAACAGGAUUAGAUACCCUGGUAGUCCACACAGUAAACGAUGAAUACUCGCUGUUUGCGAUAUACAGUAAGCGGCCAAGCGAAAGCGUUAAGUAUUCCACCUGGGGAGUACGCCGGCAACGGUGAAACUCAAAGGAAUUGACGGGGGCCC